UACGUAUGUCACAAGCGUUAUCCGGAUUUAUUGGGCGUAAAGCGCGUCUAGGUGGUUAUGUAAGUCUGAUGUGAAAAUGCAGGGCUCAACUCUGUAUUGCGUUGGAAACUGUGUAACUAGAGUACUGGAGAGGUAAGCGGAACUACAAGUGUAGAGGUGAAAUGCGUAGAUAUUUGUAGGAAUGCCGAUGGGGAAGGCAGCUUACUGGACAGAUACUGACGCUGAGGCGCGAAAGCGUGGGUAGCAAACAGG
rnacentral:rRNA from 1 species